UGACAAUGAUGGGAUGAAUUUCUUCACCCGACGAAACCGUGGGGAACAAAACAAACUAGCUUUUUAACACUGAGUAAA
rnacentral:snoRNA from 1 species